ACAAACUCCACAUAAAGAGGUUGGUUGGAGUGGUGGAUCGGUCAAACAAAACAGGACUUUCACCCAGGAGACCAGGGUUCGUGUUCCGUUCUUGUACCGCGUGUCACUGAAACGUACAUUUUAUAACCCCACCUACGAUCUUUUCCCAAACCUAACUGUCCCGUACUUGUGCCACACGUCAGUCAGUACAUCCCGACCCAGAACGUCAAAAGUGAUGUCAAGAGUCCCGACGCUAAAGGAGACUUUUAGCGUUAAUACCAAACGCCAAA